UUUUUUUUAAUUAUCUAAAUAAUUAUCUUCCGUACAUGAACGAGCAAUGAUAUACCUGUUGUUAAUGUUGCAACUUUAUAUUCUCAUGAGAUGCCUUAAUUGACUUAUACAAUUGAGUCAUCACGGAGUACAAUUUAAUACUCUCCAGCGACUUACCUGUUUAAAGUAAUCAGAGCGAUACUCAAGAGAGAUACUCCUACAUUUCCAUAUCUGAGGAACGGCACGAGUUUGCAAAGAGCCCCCCCAUGGGACCAAGUUCUCGUCCAGAAGCCGGAUAU